AGUCUGUUUCAGGGCGAGGUGUAAUUCCUCACUGGCGGUAAUGGGCACAACAGCCACGAGUCCGCGAGCCAUUUUUGGCAGAUUGGGUCAGAUCCCCAAACCAACGGUAAAGUCCGGUAUGAAGAAACGGUGU
rnacentral:ncRNA from 2 species